UACGGAGGGUGCGAGCGUUGUCCGGAAUCACUGGGCUUAAAGGGCGCGUAGGCGGCAGAUCAAGUCAGGGGUGAAAUCCGGCAGCUCAACUGUCGAAGUGCCUUUGAUACUGAUUUGCUCGAGGGAUAUAGGGUGCUGUGGAACUUCUGGUGGAGCGGUGAAAUGCGUUGAUAUCAGAAGGAACGCCGGUGGCGAAAGCGACGGACUGGAUAUCUUCUGACGCUGAGGCGCGAAAGCUAGGGGAGCAAACGGG
rnacentral:rRNA from 1 species